CUUCAGGGGGAUGCUGCGGUGGCUGAGGAGGGGUGUUUCCGGUGGCUCCCUCUCCCCUCGCCAGCCUCCCCCCGAGGUCACCACAGCGCUCCCUGAGGCUGCCAAAGCCCUAGGCAGUGUUCUGGAGGCAGAAGAGCACACCUCCUGCCAGUGCCAGCCUGGGCCAAACAUGGAGGAAAGAAGGCCUGCAAUAUCUUGACAAAGACGACACAGGACUCCAAGUCUCUUGGAAGAAUCCUGUGGACGAUACUGUUUGGCGUGGAGUUGUUUUCUUCCAGGCCCAUAUGGGAACAUUCUUAAUAUGCCAGGGACAGGAAAGGAGGCAAAAGACUGGAUUAAAAAAAAAAAAGAUAAAAAUGAAAACCUCACCUGCGGAUAAAUCCACCGCUGAUGGCCAUCUGUUCUCGUUCAUCC